GAUGAACGCUGGCGGCGUGCUUAACACAUGCAAGUCGAGCGAGAAACUACAUGCAGACACUUCGGUAGAAGCGAGUAGCGGAAAGCGGCGGACGGGUGAGUAACGCGUAGGCAACCUGCCCUUCACAGAGGUAUAGCCUCGGGAAACCGGGAUUAAAACCACAUAAAAUCAUAGGUUCGCAUGAACCAAAGGUCAAAGAUUUAUCGGUGAAGGAUGGGCCUGCGUCUGAUUAGCUGGUUGGUAGGGUAAAAGCCUACCAAGGCGACGAUCAGUAGCCGACCUGAGAGGGUGAUCGGCCACAUUGGAACUGAGACACGGUCCAAACUCCUACGGGAGGCAGCAGUGGGGGAUAUUGCACAAUGGGGGAAACCCUGAUGCAGCAACGCCGCGUGAGGUAUGAAGGCCUUUGGGUUGUAAGCCUCUGUCCUAGGGGAAGAAAAAAAUGACGUACCCGAGAGGAGCCCCG
rnacentral:rRNA from 1 species